AUGGAGGUCAUCCGCGGGCCGAUUCUGCCGCGCUGCGCUGCGCCUGCUCUCACCUCCCGCUCUCGGAUCGGCGGCCAGCUGCUGAGGCGCGUGCGCAUGCGGAGGAGGGCUUGCGGUGGUGUCUCGCCAGGUGACGGCUACGACGGCGUGUCGCGCAGGUUCUUCGGUGCCCCGACCCAGCAGCACAUGCACAGCACAAGCGCCUGGCCUGUUCGCUGCAGCUACGGCUCGUCAUCUGACGGGGACGGCGCCCCGCCGGCGAAUUUCGACGCCAGCGGCGAGGAGUUCGUCGACUCCAGCGUCAUGGAGGCUGUUGAGCUCAGAUGCGUGUCAGAUGGUUUUGUGAUAAGAAUGCGCGACGGAAGAAACCUUAGAUGUGUCCAGAAUAAUCCCCGCGUGCUAAGACUGCGCGAUUCUACGCCUCACCAUGCUAUCGUGCUCAAGAUGGAAGAUGGAAGCGAUCUUCUGCUCCCCAUUAUUGUCAUGGAGACACCAAGUAUUAUGCUACUGGCCGCCCUUCGGAACAUUCGAAUUCCAAGGCCAACAAUUUAUAAUGUGGUAAAGGAGAUGACCGAAAUGAUGGGAUAUACGGUACGUUUGGUGCGGAUUACAGAAAUGGUGCAUGAUGCUUACUAUUCUAGAUUGUAUCUUGCGAAGAUUGGAAAUGAAGAAGAGACUAUUAGUUUUGAUCUCAAGCCAUCAGAUGCCAUCAACAUUGCUUUCCGGUGCAAGGUUCCUAUACAAGUCAAUAAGCGCAUUGCAUACAACAACGGUCUGAAAGUUAUACAACCAAAGCCAACUGGGAGUUACGUGAACUCUGACCAAAUCCAGUACACAAGACUGGACAAGCCUGGUGACCAGCCUUGCUUUGAAGCCCAGGAAUUCGAUUUGGUCCGCGGCAUGCUUAUUGCUGCUGUCGAGGAGCGCUAUAAAGAUGCUGCUCAAUACAGAGAUCGCCUUCUCAUGUUCCGGGCAAACAAAAAGAACACAAUAUAA
rnacentral:rRNA from 1 species